CGUGCGCACGCGCCGAAUCCCGCAAGGGAACCGGGGAACCACCACUUGGGGUGAAUCACGCGGAUACCGCCGUGGCGACACGGCACGUAUACGCGCGUAGGAGACCUUCCUGCUCCGAACCCGUCAGCUAACCCGGUAGGCGAAGGAAGGAAAGGAGUG
rnacentral:sRNA from 2 species